rnacentral:rRNA from 1 species
UACAUGGGGUGCAAACGUUGCUCGGAAUCAUUGGGCGUAAAGCGCGCGUAGGCGGUUACUUAUGUCGGAUGGGAAAGCCCUCGGCUUAACUGAGGAAGUGCAUUCGAAACUGGGUAGCUAGAGUACUAAAGAGGGUCGCGGAAUUCCCGGUGUAGAGGUGAAAUUCGUAGAUAUCGGGAGGAACACCGGUGGCGAAGGCGGCGACCUGGGUAGAUACUGACGCUGAGGCGCGAAAGCGUGGGGAGCAAACAGG